GCAAGCGGAAGAGGCCGGGGUAGCGGAGAGAGGCUCCGAGACCGUUUGGCGGCGGUGAGUCUGGGGCCAGCCCGAGCUGAAAGUCCCAGAUCCGGGGAGACGCCAAAAGAAACGGAGAUACCUGGGGUUCCGGAGCAGUCGCUGCUGGUUGCUGCAGCUGCCCUGCCGCUGCCGCCGCGACGCCUCCGCCCUCCCUGCUGAAGACGCGGCCCUGACAGGCCUGUAGGCCUAGGCGCGGCCGGCCGAGCCCGACGUGUUGCCGCCCGUGCAGCUAUCCUAUUGGAGAGGAGAGAAAUUGGAGGUUUUAAAAGAAGCAGAAAGGAGGCUGCAAAACCCAGGCAUUAGGUGACUAAAGCUGCAAUGAUGACAAUGGAGAGGGAAAAAAUGUCGAGAUUGGGGUGUCUACCCAAACUGGAGUUUUGAUCUCAUUCUAUAGAAGAAAGAGCUCCAAAAGAGAGAAGAAAGAGAAAAGAGAGAAAUGGCUAGAGUCUUAAGGAGUACAAAGGAGAAUAUUAGGCAAGAUUGGUAGGAUAUGUGAAAUUUUGAAGUCUCAAUGAAUUUUAUGAUGUUUUAUCACAGACUGUAUUAUAAACACAAGCCACCAACCACUUCCCCAUCCCUCUAUUUCUACCUUUAUAUGAGACUUCAGUCAUCACUUAACGUUAUUUUCCAAUUUGUGGGCGAGUCAAA